rnacentral:rRNA from 1 species
UACGUAGGGGCCGAGCGUUGUCCGGAGUUACUGGGCGUAAAGCGCGUGUAGGCGGCCCGGUAAGUCCGCUGUGAAAGUCCAGGGCUCAACCCUGGGAUGCCGGUGGAUACUGUCGGGCUCGAGUCCGGAAGAGGCGAGUGGAAUUCCUGGUGUAGCGGUGAAAUGCGCAGAUAUCAGGAGGAACACCAAUGGCGAAGGCAGCUCGCUGGGACGUGACUGACGCUGAGACGCGAAAGCGUGGGGAGCAAACAGG